UGGGGAAUCUUGCGCAAUGGGCGAAAGCCUGACGCAGCCAUGCCGCGUGAAUGAUGAAGGUCUUAGGAUUGUAAAAUUCUUUCACCGGGGACGAUAAUGACGGUACCCGGAGAAGAAGCCCCGGCUAACUUCGUGCCAGCAGCCGCGGUAAUACGAAGGGGGCUAGCGUUGCUCGGAAUUACUGGGCGUAAAGGGAGCGUAGGCGGACAUUUAAGUCAGGGGUGAAAUCCCGGGGCUCAACCUCGGAAUUGCCUUUGAUACUGGGUGUCUUGAGUGUGAGAGAGGUAUGGUGGAACUCCGAGUGUAGAGGUGAAAUUCGUAGAUAUUCGGAAGAACACCAGUGGCGAAGGCGACAUACUGGCUCAUUACUGACGCUGAGGCUCG
rnacentral:rRNA from 1 species